rnacentral:rRNA from 1 species
UCGAGGGCGUUUGAUCCCGAAGCCAGUUGAAUAGGUUCCAAGAAAUAGCUUUACUAAUAGAGACCGUACUAAAACUGACACAGGUAGUCGUGGUGAAUAACCUCAGGCGCUCGAGAGAACGGUUGUUAAGGAACUAGGCAAAUUGACCCCGUACGUUCGCAAUAAGGGGGCCCUAACCCACUCGAUGGGAAGGGCGCAGAGAAAAGGCUCUGGGGACUGUUUAUCAAAAACACAGGACUGUGCAAACACGCAAGUGGAAGUAUACAGUCUGACGCCUGCUCGGUGCCGGAAUGUCAAGGAAGUAGGUUAGCUUCGGCGAAGCUUACGACCUAAGCACCGGUAAACGGCGGCCGUAACUAUGACGGUCCUAAGGUAGCGAAAUUCCUUGUCGGGUAAGUUCCGACGCGCAUGAAUGGCGUAACCACUGGAGCACUGUCUCAACAACCGACUCGGUGAAAUAGAAGACGCGGUGAAGAUACCGCGUACCCGCAGCAAGACGGAAAGACCCCGUGGACCUUUACUGUAGACUGGUAUUGGCCACGUUACUAUCAUGCGUAGGAUAGGUGGGAGGCUUUGAAACUUUGGUUCAGGCCAGAGUGGAGCCAUCCUUGAAAUACCACCCUUGAUAUUAAUGUGACCUAACUUGGACCCAUGAAUCUGGGCCAAGGACCAUGCUAGUUGGGCAGUUUGACUGGGGCGGUCUCCUCCUAAAAGGUAACGGAGGAGUGCAAAGGUCAGUUCAACAUGGUUGGAAACCAUGUGUCGAGUGUAAGCGCACAAACUGGCUUUACUGCGAGACAUACUCGUCGAGCAGUUAGGAAACUAGGCGCUAGUGAUCCGGCGAUUCCGUGUGGAAGGGUCGUCGCUCAACGGAUAAAAGGUACCCCGGGGAUAACAGGCUGAUCGCCUCCGAGCGUCCAUAGCGGCGAGGCGGUUUGGCACCUCGAUGUCGGCUCAUCACAUCCUGGGGCUGAAGGCGGUCCCAAGGGUUAGGCUGUUCGCCUAUUAAAGUGGUACGCGAGCUGGGUUCAGACCGGCGUGAGCCAGGUCGGUCCCUAUCUGCUGUGGGCGUAGCAAAUUUGAGAGGAUUCUUCUUUAGUACGAGAGGAUUAGGAAGGACGUGCCCCUGGUGCGCCAGUUGGACUGCUAAGUCCACCGCUGGGUAGCUAAGCACGGCAGGGAUAACCGCUGAAAGCAUCUAAGCG